AUUAAUGUACCCACCUCUGGCAUACAAAUUUAAGUUGCCGAAAAUAUAAAACAUUAUAAUUAUUGGGUUUUUUACAAAGUGUGCAAUACGUCACAUCCCUAUAGGCUAUAGUCUAUAGCUGGUCUCACGGUAAUGUAUUUCGGUUAAUCCUGAAAAUUAAUGAUUUGUUGCACUGGAAUAGUGGAAUGCGUAUCCAUCUGAUUCGCAUGGUGUUGUUGGUAGCGAUAGCGAUUUGCGCAGUUCCUGCCCCCAUUGCGCAAGCAUGGAAUUCCUUCGUCGGCACAACUUUGCAAUAUUCCACAUACACUUUUUACCCUCCAGCAGGAAAUCUGUAUCCUGGAACAAAUAAUUAUAGAGGUCAGUAUUACGGAAAUUUUGGGAGCACCAACAAAUAUAUUAGACGCAGAUACCCGUCCGGUUACGUAACCGACUGUGACAGACAUCCACGACCUUAUCGCGAAAGAUACGAAUAUGCGGCACAACAUUCCGGGGAAUAACACAGGAGUAACAGGACACAUGAAAAUUAACUUGAGUACUUACUUAUUUGAAAAAGGUUUUAAAAGGUAUAGCACACUGCAGAGCACAGAAGAGGUCAUCUUGAAAAGCUUUCAGAUGCCUAAACUGAGACGUUGUUUCCGUUGCUUAUACAGUAGCAAGUGUCCGGACAUGGUGAGAUUCUUACUUCUCGAAAGCUACAACAAAUAAAUAAUGCAGCAAGGUUGACAAAGUGAUACUUGCGGUAUUCUAAAUACAUACUGGCAACUAUUUGGUAUUUCAAAAACUAUUCCCAAGAUGUCUGGCCUGGUUUUUUGAUACUGUAAUAUUGCGAGUGGGAAUAUUUAGUGUGUACAAAAAAAGAUCGGACGUUGUAAUAAUUAUUGUAAUGUAAUUAUAACGUUAUAUGU